rnacentral:lncRNA from 9 species
UUUUUUUUUUUUUUUUUUUUGCUGGUAACAAACAUCACAUUCCCACACUCAUGCAUCAGGAGAGAGCCUCACCGUGGUGAUGUUUAGGUGUGGUCUUUUUGGAGAGCGAGGGAAUACAAUAGCAUCUUACUGCUCCUUCUGGGCAUAUAGCACUACAUUUGUUUUAGAGACUGAAAAUAAGUGUGGGUGGUCGGUCGGGUCUAUAAAGGGAAAUUUAGGAGGAUAAAUUGUUUAUUUAUCUUAGCACCUUUCUGUGAACAUUUGACAGAGUUUUAGGUCAAGGUAUAGGACAUCCACUUGAAAAGCAAUGGCAAAUAAAUAAUUAGGCUCUAUCUUUAAGCACUGAAAAAUAUUUAUACUUUUUUUUGUUUCAUUUUGAGUCUUUUCUGUGAAUCCUUUCUGUGAGUUUCUGCACAAACUGGAGGCUUUGGGGCCAAAGACUGAUUCCAGAAACACUUAGGUAUGGAAGAAACUUUUGGGUGGGAAAGAUGGUGAGAUGAGAGAAAAGAAAGUAAGCUGAGAUGAGGUCUGUUCUUUUUCAUAGCCUUUUGCAACCGGCAGCUUAAGUCGCAGAACAUCAAACAACAGACAAGAGCUUGCCCCACCCAAAGUGUUGUGAACAUGGAUUAUUCACUUGCCAUUUUUAUUCCACUGAACUGCAGGAGCACUAAGUGCACAGAAGGUUCUAAUUCAUCCUGUGAGCUUUGUGAAAUAGAGUACGAGCCAAAUAAAAUGAAGCAGAGGAAAAUAAAGCUUCCCCCUGCCCUGCCCCACCCACCCACCUUGUCCUGCUUCCAUAUAAUGUUUUUUUUUUGUUUUUUUGGCCACGCCCUCAGCAUGUGGAAAUUCCCCGGUCAGGGAUUGAACCUGCGCCACAGCAGCAACCUGAGCCACAGCAGUGACAGUGCUGGAUCCUUAACCCUGCUCAGCCACCGGGGAACUCCCUUCCUUCCAUAUUUCUGGGAAACUCCAUAUGCUGUAGUUGUGGCCCUAAAAAAAAAAAAAAAAGAAGGCAAAUAAAUAAAUAAAAUAAAGUUUCAGAGUUCCCAUUGUGAAUCAGUGGGUUAGGAACCUAACUAGAAUCCAUUAGAAUGCAAUUCAAUCCCUGGCCUGGCUCAGUGGAUUAAGGAUCCAGCAUUGCCACAAACUGUGCCACAGGUUGCAGAUGCAGAUGCGGCUUGGAUCCUGAGUUGCUGUGGCUGUGGUGUAGGCCCCAGUUGCAGCUCUGAUUCGACUCCUAGCCUAGGAACUUCCAUAUGCUGCAUGUGUGGCUUAAAAAAAAUAAAGUUUCAUCUUGAGUUGCUAUUUGGAUCACUGCUAGACCCUAAAGAGAUUUUUAAAAAAUACUUAUUGAUUGAAUGAUAGAAUAUACAGAGCAUCACAAUGCCUGCUUCUGAGUAUAAUGAAAUUUUAAAGGUAAUGCAAUGUUAUGCUGUUCCUUAAUGGUAUUAGAGUGCCCAUCUGUUAAUUAUUCAAUCUGAUUUUAGUCAGGGUGAGAUUCACAUAUUUGUUUGAAAGCAACAUAAAUAUGAAUAAAUGUCACAUGUAAUUCAUCCAUGGUAACACCAUCUGUAAAAGCAAUAAAAACAUAAUUAGAUAGGGUGUUGUUUAAUCACAUUUUUUGGAAACCUCGACUGUCAUGCAGAGGCCCUCUGAUUAUAUCCUUAAUAUGCACUAAUCAGUGUCUACUGAUCUGGGCAGGGCAUCUUUUCAUUCUAGACAUUAAACUAUAGUGAUAUAUUGGGAAAAAUUAGUUUUGGUUGCUUGGAGUAGUUGCGACAAGAAUAAUUGGAACACUGUUCUAAAGAGCCUGUACUCUCUAGCUCAGAAACACAUGGCUGCAUGUGUGACAUUUCUAAAUGGUGACUUAUUCAAGGAAACUCUAGUUGAUUUUUUAUUUUAAGCUUCAGGUUAUGGAGGGGAAAAACAAAAAACAGAAAAGGAAAAUUAGGCAUUAAUGUUCCUAAUAUGGAGAGGCAGAGACUCCAAAUAAAGGU